GUAUUAAGAUAUGAGGACCAUCUAAAGGCUUUACCACAUUCUCUACAUUUAUAAGGCUUCUCUCCAGUAUGAACUCUCUGAUGCUUCCUAAGGUCUGAGGAGCUGCCAAAGGCUUUGCCACAAUCUCUACAAUCAUAAGGCUUCUCUCCAGUAUGAAUUUUCUGAUUUAGAGUA